CAAAAAGGGAGUGGAAUUGACUUCCGGCACCACGACUGACGUCAUCAACUGCGACUGUUUUUGUUGCUCAUGCUUGUCUUUAUGGAAGAACAAUGUGCAUGCUGGAGGUUUAUCCAACUUAAUAUAUAACGCAAAAAACUCCUGUCUUUUCAUUUGGAUUAACUCCAACGCGUCGAUUUGAUCCCUCGUUUCUUCACUUGAGUUGAACUUGUGAUGAAGUAAACACUAUUUCUAAUAUUUGUUCAACUGUAAGAGAUCCUGUAUGAGUCUUUCACUACUAGUUAAGCCUAUAACGUGACAGAGAGUACGAUAUGUUUUUAUCUACAAUGAGAUCAAGAAGGAUUUUGCCACUGAAUAAAGAUAUGACACGUACUGCCACUUCAUCUUCUCCAUUUUGUGUCUCUUGCUGCUGAUCAUUUUGCUAUAUACACAUGAACAUGGAUGCACACCAUUCAAACCUGCCGGCUGUGUUUACGGAUUUACGGUCUGGAGUCCUUCCUGCUUUGAGCACCGAGGAACUUGCGAGACACAUUUCAUCAGCCAUGAAGAAUUCUUUACACGUUUUACUACAAUCUCCACAGAGUAUGACAAAUGAAGACACAGAGAUGACUUGCAUGUUCCUUACACUGAUUGACAAGAUCAUCUCCAAGCUUUCUUCAGUAAAUCUUCCACGAGCUGUCAGAGAGUAUUGUGAUGACGUCACGAAGAGACUCUUUGGGGCCUGUAAUAUGACAGCUGACCUUGUGUGUCUAAUAAACAGCCAGGACAGGAUGCUGGCUCAUUUAGCUGCCAAAUGCAUUGCUUCUUUUGUCAUAUAUGAUAUCGGAUAUAAUAUUGGUAGCAACUCUGUUUGGAAGAUUUCCUUCAGAGAAACAUUUCAGAGUUUGGAUUCAAGCUGCGCCUUGGACACACACCUGUGGGCACUGACACAAGUGAUUAAGAAGAUACUGAAGUUAGACUGUGUUAACAAACGAGAAAUUCUGUUGAAACUCCUUGCUGAUUUUGAGUCAUCCCUCACUUCCUUAUAUCCAAAGCUGCUCUUACAAGACAAUCCUGAUAUCACAUAUGUGGCAGAAAAUGACAGAAACUCUGUGGAUUUAGAAAUCAGUGUAUGUGCACUGCUGGAUCUUGUCGAAGUUCUCAAUGCUGCAAGGAUACGGCAUGGCCUCUGCUCUUCUGUUCAGAGACUGGUGUUUCUCCAGACUCCAGCUCUCCUCCAUCUGACGCUGACCAACAUGAAGGAGUUUGUAAAGAAGCGAGCGCUGCUUUUGCUGAAGCGGAUUCUCGCUAAGAGUGCAGGGGAGGAAUGGGGUUUUGGGGAAAAUUAUUCAAAAGAGAUCGAUGAGGAAUAUGCCACUGAUUUGCUGGUGAUGGCUGAUGCCGUGCUUCAGGAAGUAGAAGCUGGUUGGCUUCGAAAGUUCCGUGUCAACUCUCGGGCGAGUUUCUUCGGUGGGAGCAAGAGGAAUGCUUCGGAUGGAGAGAUUAAAGAUGCUGUGAUGCUCAGGGCUGUAAGCCUUAUUAUGAUCAAGUGUCUGGAGAUUAAAACUCGGCAUGUUUCUGCACAAGGAGCCGAACUUGCCCUUGAUGUUCAGCCUUUUCUAAUGGAACUGCUGGUUUUUCUCCAGCAGCAGGUGCUUCAGGUCAAAGCAGUCAAACAUCCCUGCUCUUGGAUCUUGGUAGUGUUUGCAGAUCAGGAUGACGACCUGAUAGAAUCAGCCAAGGUUUUAAUGACCUUGUAUUUACAUCAGGAAAGUUUGAGUUCCUCAGAACCGGCAGCAUGUGAGUGGGGAUGUAACCCUCAUUGUCACUUUACUCUCCUACUCCGAAGUCUCUCCUUUGACCACACCGUCCUCCUGGACUUCCUUAUUUCCAAUGAAACCUGCUUCUUGGAGUACUGCGUCCUCUACCUGAAGAAUUUACGUGACCACUGGCAAGAUUUCUGUAAUGCGUGCUGUCGUAUUGAAAAGUCGGAGACACACCCACUUUUUUCUGAAGCGUCAAUCACUUCACCUUCUCAGUCAAAAGUUGCUGGAUUCAGGCCAAGCCUGGUUGAUUAUGAGAGCUCAGAGGAUUCUGAGAAUGAAGACAGAAGUGUGUCAAACCUCCAGAUGAGAAGGAAUGCUGAGGAACCAGUAGCAGAGAUCGACAUGAGAAAAGCCGGAGAAAGGGCUAGGUCUAGAUCGGCAGAUACAGUGGAGAAAAUAAGCACUGUCUCUUCAGAGGGUCUGAGGGGAAAUGUCAUGAUGUGCCUUAGUGAGUUAAGGACUGUAAUCAGCAGACUUCACAGCAGGGGGCUGUUCCCGUACAACCCUAGUUCUCUUCUUAAAUUGCUGCUGGCUAUUGAGACUAAAGGUCAAUUGGAAAAGCCAAUAGCACCACAACUUAAAUAAUUUAACUGUGUUAAUGAUGUACAGCUAACCAUUAUCCUCAGAGAAGAUGAGCUUCCUCUAUCAACACCCUAUGUGGGCGGGAUGAUUGGGACCAUCUGUGAAUGGUUCUGGUGGGAUCGCCUCUGGCUGCCCACCAAUCUGACAUGGGCAGAUCUAGAAGACAAGGAUGGCUUGGUCUACGCCAAAGCGUCUGACUUAUACGUAACCUUGCCC